GACGAACGCUGGCGGCGUGCUUAACACAUGCAAGUCGAACGAAGAGCGAUGGAAGCUUGCUUCUAUCAAUCUUAGUGGCGAACGGGUGAGUAACGCGUAAUCAACCUGCCCUUCAGAGGGGGACAACAGUUGGAAACGACUGCUAAUACCGCAUACGAUCUAACCUCGGCAUCGAGGAUAGAUGAAAGGUGGCCUCUACAUGUAAGCUAUCACUGAAGGAGGGGAUUGCGUCUGAUUAGCUAGUUGGAGGGGUAACGGCCCACCAAGGCGAUGAUCAGUAGCCGGUCUGAGAGGAUGAACGGCCACAUUGGGACUGAGACACGGCCCAGACUCCUACGGGAGGCAGCAGUGGGGAAUCUUCCGCAAUGGACGAAAGUCUGACGGAGCAACGCCGCGUGAGUGAUGACGGCCUUCGGGUUGUAAAGCUCUGUUAAUCGGGACGAAAGGCCUUCUUGCGAAUAGUGAGAAGGAUUGACGGUACCGGAAUAGAAA
rnacentral:rRNA from 1 species